rnacentral:lncRNA from 1 species
CAAAAUUCGCAAUGCCAACACAAUAGUUUCUAGUCCCAUGAUCCACUGAGAAAAACAUGGAUUCUUUAAAAGUAAGUGGCAAAGUACCCCUGAUUUUGAAACAUGUAUGGUCGUGAUAUCAAGAGUGACAACCUGGGCAAAAGAGAGCCAUUGCAAAGAAGAAAGGCCUUUAGGGAAAUGGAGCAGAAAGAGGAAGCAGUAAGAUAUUGUCUUUAGCGCCUACAACCAUAUAUGGAUUGGGUGGUCCAGAAGGAAGAAUGUGGCAACCUCCCACAGGGGCUGUCGGCACUGCUGUGGUGGGAUGGGCAGGAAUGAUUUCUCCCUCCAGGAUCACUCUGUUUCCAA